UACGGGGGGGGGCAAGCGUUGUUCGGAAUUACUGGGCGUAAAGGGUUCGUAGGUGGCCAACUCAGUCAGACGUGAAAUCCCUCGGCUUAACCGGGGAACUGCCUCUGAUACUGGAUGGCUUGAGAUUGGGAGAGGGAUGCGGAAUUCCAGGUGUAGCGGUGAAAUGCGUAGAUAUCUGGAGGAACACCGGUGGCGAAGGCGGCAUCCUGGACCAACACUGACGCUGAGGAGCGAAAGCCAGGGGAGCAAACGGG
rnacentral:rRNA from 1 species